ACUACUAAUGCUAAAAUAUCGGCGUUUAAUUUCAAAGACGAUUCAUUUCCUCUUCCAACCUCUCUCUCACCACCAAUUCUAGUUUUCUUUCUCCCUCAUCAGUCGAUUUUCCUCCCAAAACCCUAACCUCCACCGCGCGUCUCCCAUCCACGCCUUUCUGACGGUGAAGCCGACGAAGAAGAAGUCGCUUUGCUACCACUACCAAGUUCCUCUCAGUUGACGACGAGUGACUAAUCGGAGAAUUAGAAUUUCAAGGAGAAAAUAUUGAACAAACGAGGCAGGUCGAAGAGUCAGUGUACUAAAACGACAAGGCAAAGGAAGUGACAAACAAUGCUCAAAUGAACAUGAUGGAGAAGGGGAUGGAAGAACUGAGAUGUCAAAGAGAUAGAGGAGUUGCAUCGGAAACUUGAGGAGGGAAAGGAGAAGGACAUCAGCAGCUGGAUACUGCGUGAGGCGAUCGAACUGCCUGUGCAAAUAUCAGCACAGUUGCUGCUCUGUAAUCAGCUCAGAACAUCACGACGCCCCGCAGUUUGCAAAAUCAAAACCAGUCCCAAACUUCGCCGGCGAGCCGUCGGAUCGGAGGCCAAGCUUGGCCGGCAACCUGCCGGAGUUCGCAAGCAUCUCCAAAAUUCAGCACAGCAGCAACGUGGAGGAUAGAACUCUGCCGGAGACCCCCCGGAAGUGCACGCCGAAUGCUCCGAACAGAACCAUUUCUGCCAUUUCACACAACAAAGUUACCACCCGCCCGGGUGAGUUUUGCACCAUCAAAUACACCAGGUCGGGUAAGCUUCGAAAGUCGUAAGGAUUCCAGAAUGAGUUGAUUUUCUAUCACCCGGCCGGGUGAUUUAUUAGUUUCAAAUUCUACCGGCCCGGGUAGAUGUUAAUCGGCAGUUUCAUAUUUAAAAAAAAGACGGUUUGGAUGGUUUUUGGGGGAGACGAGGAGAGAGAUACAUUUGGAGGCAGAGGAUUCAUUUUGGAGAAAAUGAGUAGGAACGAAUCUGGAGAGAAUUCCAUACAGCAAAUUGGGAGAUUAAGUUUGGAUAGAUUGGUGGUGUACGAUUUUGGGAGAAAACAAAUUGGUGAGAAUUUUGAGUGUGAAGUGCUACGUGUUUUGUUGGUGAAGAAGUUGGAAAAAAAGAAUUCUCCAAAGUCAAAUCAUCAUCUUCAAGCUUCAUGGUUUCAAGGAUUAUGGUUUCAAGGAUUUUCAUCUCCAUUAUCUUUGUUCUUAGUUUGAUCAUGUUAGGCUAAGAAUAUUGUAUUACUCCAAACAUGUUGUUAGACAAAUUAAUUUCAUGAAUUUAUCUUAUGUUCGUUUCUA